rnacentral:ncRNA from 1 species
UGAUAGCGUAGAAGCGUGAGGUUGCUACAUAUUAUGUAGGUUUUCCGUGGAGCGAAUGUCAAGUUAUAAAACUGGCGACAA